rnacentral:rRNA from 1 species
UGGGGAAUAUUGCACAAUGGAGGGAACUCUGAUGCAGCGACGCCGCGUGAGUGAUGAAGGACUUCGUUUCGUAAAACUCUGUUCUAUGGGAAGAAAAGGACUGUACCAUAGGAGAAAGCUCCGGCUAAAUACGUGCCAGCAGCCGCGGUAAUACGUAUGGAGCGAGCGUUGUCCGGAAUUAUUGGGCGUAAAGGGUGCGCAGGCGGCUUUACAAGUUGGAUGUGAAAUAUUGUGGCUCAACCACAAACGUGCAUCCAAAACUGCAAAGCUUGAGUUAAGGAGAGGUAAGUGGAAUUCCUGGUGUAGCGGUGGAAUGCGUAGAUAUCAGGAGAAAUACCGGUGGCGAAGGCGACUUACUGGACUUAAACUGACGCUCAGGCACGAAAGCGUGGGGAGCAAACAGG